rnacentral:rRNA from 1 species
AUACAGAGGGUGCGAGCGUUAAUCGGAAUUACUGGGCGUAAAGCGCGCGUAGGCGGCUUGGUCAGUCGGAUGUGAAAGCCCCGGGCUCAACCUGGGAAUGGCAUUCGAUACUGCCAGGCUAGAGUAUGGGAGAGGUAAGUUGAAUUUCCGGUGUAGCGGUGAAAUGCGUAGAUAUCGGAAGGAACACCAGUGGCGAAGGCGACUUCCUGGCCCAAUACUGACGCUGAGGUGCGAAAGCGUGGGGAGCGAACAGGAUUAGAAACCCCAGUAGUCC